GCAGCGGAGCCGGCCCGAAGUGUGAGGGAAGGACAAGAUCGGCCAGCUGUGCUCAAGAUAGCGAACGGUUGUCCCCACGGCGCACCGGUGCGGACCUCUCGGUGUUUGUCGGCUGUGUUAUUCCCUCGGGCUAGUAGCAUGUCAGUGCGCCGGCUCUGGCUUGAGCAGGCGGUGAAAUCGUGAGUGUGCGUGCGUGAAACCGGAGGAUAGCGAGAAGAGCGACAGCUACGCGCGCGCGAGGAAGCGGCGGCGACAUGUCGACGGGCAAGCGGCUGGCGAAGCGCUCGAUCCUGGGCACGCGUGUGUGCGCCCCUACGGCAGACGGCAACCACAUGCCUGGUGUUAUUCAGGCGACCAAAACGGACACUGACGACGAGAACAUCUACACUGUCAUGUUCGCCGACAAGACGACUGGCGAGUACCGCGGCGAAGAGCUCAUCGGGCCGGGCUUCCAGACCAUAGCGGGCCUCACUCUCAAGAGCGGCCAGCGCGUGUACGUGACGUUUAACGGCCGCGAAGUGUCCGGCGUCGUGCUGGAGCACGACGCCGUGCGCGACGACGUGGUCAUCAGCAUCCAGCCGUCGCAGCACAACCAGCACAUCACGCAGACGGUCCACAAGCGCCUGGAAGAGGUGCGACUCUUGGAGAGCCGCAAAUCAGCUCGCCUACAGGACUUGGACACGGACUAUUCGCGGCUUGCCGAAGGUCAGGGCGAGCUCCGGCGGCGAGCCUCUUCACUCAGCAUCGAUGUGCCGCCUUCCAUAAACGGCCGCAAGAGGCGGCCCAGCGCCAGCGAGGACGCGGACACCAUGGACGACUGCAUGGCCGCCAUGGUGCUCAUGCGACUCUCGUGCAGCCCAAAGUCGCCGAGGGUGCCCUCCGACGCCCCUGGCACACCAUCAUGGACAAGCUCAAGUUCCGGUGCCUCGAGCUGGGAAAGUGGCCAGUCACCUCCACGGACUGGAACCCCAUCUCCCCCAGCAGGCCUGGCUGCGGCAGAUGCACACACCUUCUGGCGCAUGUCACCCACCCAGGAUGAGGGUGUUGACUUUGCUGAGAACCUUGGCUCGUCUGUUGAAUCUGGCUGUGCAAAGAGAAAGCGGGUGCUGUACAAGUGUAUGUGGAAGGAGUGUGGUGAACGGUUCUCCACCUGCAAGGACGUUGAGAGGCAUGUUCGUGUGAAGCAUCUUGGGCGUGGUGAUGAGAGCGAGGACUCUGCAUCAAGUGACCAUGAGGAAGAGUUCUACUACACAGAAAGUGAGGAGGAUGAUGACCUGGAGAGCGACUCUGGCAGCACCCUUCUUGGAGAGCAUGGCGAAUGUACGCACAAUGUGUACACUUCUGCACCCACCCUCAGUCAUCUUGAUAUGGCGAGGCCACCACACGAGGACCCUCAGUACCAGAUGCUCGCAAGGAGCGCUGUUCCUGCAUCCCCGCCCAACCUGUCAUCAGCAUCACCUAUCAACAUUCCCACAGUGCAGCGAUCUUUCACAUGGCAGCCACACGUCAGUGCACCAACAACUAUGGUUUCGCCCCAAAAAUUCAUGCGUCUGAGCCCCAAGACCCUGUCUGCCUCACCAAAAAGCUCGCCACUUCACCGGAGGGUACGCUCUGAAAGCCGCAAGUGCCGCAAGGUCCACGGCAUGGAGAACAAGGACAUGUGGUGCACCCAGUGCAAGUGGAAGAAGGCCUGCAGCCGCUAUGUUGACUGAGCGCUCCCACUCCUCCCACUUCUUCCCUUUUCGUUUUUACCACUACUCACAGUGUAACCGCUGUCAUAAUCGUGGCACAUCCAAACUUGUUCAUCUCACAGUGUGUGUUGUUGCAUUAAGCUGCGCUGCAGGCUGCUUACUGACAAGCUCCACUGUAAUCUAAGAAUGAAGAAAAACCUUGCCAGAUGGGAAAGGUUUGGUUUAACAUGCACAGCUUUUACAUGCUAGUAUGAAGGAGCUAUUUGCUAUGUUCAAACAGUCAUUUAGGAUCCCUUGCUUGAAAAAUCCUUGUGAAUGUAAAAUCUUCUGUGCAUCCUUAACUAGCAACCAGCAAGCACCUUGUAGUUACUUUGACUGUUUCCAGUCAUGCCACCAUUGUCAGAAUUUCUAAGAGCUGAAACAUAUGAUCGGACAGAAGUAAGAUGAAAUUAUUUCAUAGAGUACAAUUAGUUCUUUGUCAGCAAUGCAAAUUAGACAAAAAGGAUGUCACGAUCGUCGGGGAAUUUGAGAGGUCUGGCAAGGAUAAGUUUAUGCAAGCCAAUAUUUGAAGAAAACAUGGCUGCUGAGCUUGGCUGACAACACAUUCCUCCUUUAAGCUUGUGACAUCAGGAGGAAAGCUUGCUAAAGGUAUGGUGGUGGCAAAUUCUGCUUUUGCCAAUUUAUUUGUACAAAGUGUGUGGCCUGCAGUACUGUACAUAGUGUUUUCUUGACAUGCUGACAUGUGGCCAUCAUCAACUACAUAUUUCUCUAUUUGUAAUGUUAUUUCCCAGAUGACCACCCUUUCAUAAUGAAAAACAUUGAGAGGUGCCACUGGCUGAUUUAUUCAUAGCUGCUAUCUCAUGCCCACUGUGAGAACUGAUUUACAAAUGCCUACAUCGCCAGCAGAAGCGGAUUGGUCAUCGACCACAGCAUUGGCCCAGUGUUGCUACCAAUGCUCACAGAGCAUGAAAAAAUUUAAACGAAGUUCUGUUCCAUUUCGCUUUCUUGUAGUAAUAAUGUCUACAAGCUGAGGAUAUUCUUUCACUGUAAAAUGAGUUGACUUGGAGCUGCAUUUGUCAGACUUAAUUGCACCGCUGUAUUUGCACUGAUUAUGCCUGCAUAUCCCAAGCAGUACUGGAGCAGAUGAGUUGAAAUUUGUUUUGCUGACAGUGUUUGUUGAGGUGAGGCGUGUUUGUUGUAGGGGUGCUGCUUUGAGCUCACAGACUUUUUCUCACUUGCAAUUUGUCUCACUUGUGCCUUGCAUUAUGAAGUGUCUGAAAGCAAGAGGUGACUGAGUACAUAGUCAUGCAAAGCACAGGCACUUGUGAAGCAAAUAGAAACAAAAGCCAGAAUCGACAUAAACCACUUGAUUACUCAAGGCAGGCUCUUGCAAGUUAUUAGAGAUAUCCAGAAUAGUGAGGACACACUAGCACAAAUGCAUACUGCAGUAGCAAAGAACAAUUCCAACAACAGUAGCACUGGUGGCAUCAUCUUGCGACACUGUGAUCAACCAUAACACCCUCGAAACAUUAUUCUGUUGUAUGAAUGAGUCUUCGAAAAAGAAAAUGCACAAAAAUAUCUUUGUGAUAAUUACAUUAUUGGCGAUACAUAUAUGUCCGCAGAUAAGAGGAAUGCAAUCGAUCAUUGCAAAAACUGGCACUUUCACGGAAAUUAAAAAUUAAAUUCUGAGGAUUUGCGUGCCAAAAGCACAAUCUGGUUAUGAGGCACAUUGUAGUGGAUGACUCCGCCUUAAUUUUGACCACCUGGGGAUCUUCAAGGUGCCCCCAGUGCAUGAGACACGGGUGUUCUUGCAUUUUGCCCCCAUCGAAAUGUGGCUGCGGUGGCUGGCAUUUGAUCCCGCGAUCUCGUGCUUAGCAGUGCAAUGCUAUAACCAUUAAGUCACCACAACGGGUGCUUUCACCAAAAGGGCAAAGCAUUUACAGCAACAGCGAAGUUUAGCACUGCGCUUGAGUGCCUCAGACAGUGUUCUAGCAAUAGGCAAAGCGACAUGUUGGUGCGAUGCAGCUUGCGAGGCAACUGCUGCUGCACAGCAGAAACAGUGCCCUGGCAGCUACCGGCCAUUUCAUAAUGUUGGCGUGAUGUGGAGCACUGCCAGUGGCAUCGCAGGCAUGUUGCACCUCAAUGGUGGACGAAAUAAGGCUGAAGGAAAACCAUCGGCAUUCGUAGAUUAAAGUUUACAGUUUGUUCCGCUCAAACCACUGUAUGCACACAGCUGCACAGCAAAAGUGCUAAUGUUUUGGGUGCACAGCCCUCGUGUCAGCAGCAGAAGGCGGAUUGCUACCGUGGCUUUGCUGCAAAGCCAGUUGAGCAGAGCAGUUGUGCAUCCAAUUGGCUUCGUCGUUGUUGCUGCCAAAUGCACUGCGCGUCUGUCGCUUCUCUGGAGACCUUGUAACCAGCCACACGCAUGCUGCACAUGUGCCGUCAAUGCCAUGACAGCAUGACAGUGGUGGUGGUGCAAGCGCACCUGAGGUAUCCGUAGAAUUGCUAUCAUAAUAAUACAAGUUCUCCAUGCCUUGGCGAGAUAAACACAGUGUCGCAAGACAUUGGUGCCAUUGUUGCUCCUUUGUAGUAGUCCAAUAUAUGUUCAUGUAUGCUAGUGUGUGUCUGCUAUGGUAAAGAUGUCUCCUGGAUGACAAACUUAAGCUGAACUGUCAACAUUUGUGAAAUUAGAGUCUUGGCUUCUUGUGCUAGCCUACAAUGUGCUCAAGACGUGUGUGUGUUGCAUAGACAUGUGCAAAGGAAUGCACGUUUGUGCACCACUUAGUUUACAAGCAUCGUCAUCUUGUGCCACAAGAAACAAGUUUUUAACUGUUUAUUUCUCAUCACUCCCAUACCACUCAGAAUCCUCAUUUUGGUGCAGAAGCUGAAACAAAAGCAUGCCAGCUGCCUCUUGGGGCAAAUCAGAACCUAAGGUGAAAUGCAGUGAACUCAAGAGAGUAGGCAGAAGCCGCCCAAGUGUGCCAAUAGCGUCUGGUCAGAGGAACUGCGAAAGCCUUGAACCAAUUUGCUGUCAUGAGGAGCUGGCAAGGCACUGUGAGAUGGCCUGGACAAGGCUUGCACAAGCUGCAACCUCAUAAAAGAUCAGCCAGUGGUGUUUGUACUUGGAAGUGGAAACCACAUGGAGCAAGUUUCAAACAUGUUUUCCACGAGGCAUUGCCAUAUCUAUCUUAUGCCACAUGAUAACUGCACUGUUAUCACUGCCUAAAUGCCUACCAUGGAAUAUCGCCUUUUUUUCGGCAACCAUAUGUAAUGCAUUCCAACUGGAAUUGCAUCGUGGUAAUCACCAGGUGUGAAAUAGCCAUGCUGAAACUAGGCAGCGCCAUGCCCUAAAUGUGUUGUAAACAUUCUCGUGUGGUUGCUGCUUAACACAGGCGCAAAGUGUACGUGUGUGAGAAAGAUGCACUUUGUACACUCAAAGUGUCGAAUUGCAACAUACGUACAAUGAAUGAGGCUUAUCUGUUUGUCUGAGCACUUGUUUUAUUUACAUUGCUUGGUAUCCUUGCUAAGCCCUGUCCAGGUCAUCUUGAGCUGCUUCUGUGUUACCAUGUGCAGUGGAGCUGUAGCAACUUGGCAGGGUCACUGGGACUGAAGUGUGCCUUGCCUGGUAGUCAAACAGCCAACAGCAAUCAUAACCCCAGAACAACAGCUGUGGGUUGACAAAAACACUUGGAAUCUCGGGUGCGUGCCGCUCCACUCAGUAGAGUGUGCAACACCUUGCCUCAUAGUCCACGUGAAUGCCAUCCAGCAUGUCAUUUGAUACGUUUGCCCAAGUGCUACAUUGAAUCAAAAUUUGUCAGUGUUCGUAUGUAGUUGAUUUCGCUUUAAUUUUCCAGAAAAAUGAAAGCUUAUUGUGGAUAAAUGAAUUUUCAAUAUGAGUGCCAUAACACGUCUUUGUACGCAGUGGUAUGAGCAAGACUGCCCUGACACUAAUCAUAGAAGCUGUGGCUCUCGAUGCACUGCAGUCAUCUUGAAACAAUAAUUGAAAACAGCUUGCUUCAUUUUGUUUCAAAUGACUACAUUUCAAGUGACUGAAACGUACAUCACAGUGCUUCUUUAAGGCCUUAAAAUGUUGAGCACUAGUAUAACCAAUUAGUGAGUUGUUCUCUUCUGGCGGCAUGCUGUCAAAAAUAAAAAAAUUUGGAGGGUGCUUAAGUUUCGCCUUUGAGAGUGGAAUGUGAUAGCAUUCAAAAAUCCCUGACUGCUCCUCAUGCUUCUGAGCAACUGCAGCUUAUACGUAACCGUAAUGUUUACCGGGAAAUGUUGGUGCCGAAAUGCAUGAAGGCGAGCUUUCUGGUAGAAAUGUGGCCUCUUGCAUGGGCCAAUCUUCUGUUAUUGUUUCGCACUUUUGAUAUUUCAGUCUGAGAAGAUUUAACAUAAAAGGCAUGCACUGUCGUUGUUUUGUUUCACGGCAUUUGUUUAUGGGCUGCCAUUCUCAAAAUUCUGAGGAAUAACUGUGUAAAGAAUUUAAGACAAGAUAUGAGCAACUUUAGUGAUAGAACAACUUUAGUGCCGUAUAAAAUAUGCGUGGUUCGGGAUGAUUAUCUGGUCUGCUGACGCCGAUGCUUACGUGGACAUUAGAUUUUCUGCGGCACGGAGCCCUUAAUGCUAUCGCAUUAAAACUGAAACAUGGACAUUGGUUGAGAAACAUACAUUGCAGGAAAGUUGUCUGGGGAAGGGAGACUGCUGUAGCCAAUAAAACACACAGCAUCUUGCUUGGGUUAGAAAGACUAGUUUUGCUAUACGGCCAAGAAGAUGGACCUCCUGUCCCUUUUCUGGAAGCAGACUAAAGCACAAUAUGCUUUUUACUAAAUCACUGUCAAUGUUCAAAUGUCAUUGUAUGUAUCCGUUUCCAUCUUGCCAUCACCUUACAGUCACCGUGUUGGCAUUACGUAGUUGGUGGCUUUGCGACACUAAUGCAAAAACGAUUGCUUGGAUCCACGACGAGAAUGUGUAUCUAAGCAACUGCUGCUGCUUUUGUGUGACAAAGCUGUCAACGAUACAUUUUUGAAGAUUGUAUAGCCCAACUUGUUACCCAUUGUGCCAGUGUCCUUACACAGCUUACACUACAGAACAUGUAAAAUUCAGCAGUGAAGUAUGUCAUAUUGUCAUGCUUUAAAAGACUUUCAUGUUGAAAUAGCUGACUUGGUGCACAUAAAAAUCUGUGGCAGGAUUGUCAUUCUGACGUGACUGGUGGCAUUCCAGUGUACUGUGAUCGCAUACUGAAUGGUCUCACAGAAGGAUGUCAUAGUGUGUUGUCUGUACUGUCCUGUGCCUCGGUGUGUACAUGUAGAAGAGAACCGCUAUUGAAAUGGAUGAAGAUAACCGGUGCCAGAUUUGUAGGGUUAGUCCGCCAGUAAGCUGGACAGUCGUGUGGAGCUGAUUAAUCAAUUGCUGUCUUGACACAAUCAUGCAGCAAUGUCUGAUGCAUGCAGAAGGUAUGAAAAUAGCAUUGACUUUUGCUCAUGGGGGUACCCUGUCACUUGGACAGGAGGAAAAAUAGCUGUUGACUGGCACAAACUGCACAGUUUUUUACCCUGCCAAAAACAGUCAGAUGCAAGCAAAUGUUACUUUACAAUGAGGAAUUGGUGCACUCAUGUAUCAUAUUGUGGAGCGAUUGCUUUUAGCAGUAUUUUCACUUCACUUAAUCCUUUAGCUCCCAGGCCCGAGCUGCACUCAACCUAGCAGAUUGUACCGACAUUGCCAAAGACGAAUACUGCUCGUCCGGGCUGCACUUCAAAUAUCUUACUCUUUUGAGCACAGUGAUUUAUGAAGGAUAAGGUAUACCAAAAUUUACUUCACAAACCAGGCAUCAGCAAUACGAUAACACCUGUUUUUAGUCUUUUGUAGCAUACAUAAAUGCACUGUAAAUCUUUAAUAGGCACAUUGUUUUCGCAACAGCUUGCAGCUUUGUGCAGUCAGCAGCUGCCACAGUUCAUUGAGACCCACUCUGAAAUGCUGUGCAAGACUUAUAAGCAUGCAAUACGUCUUUGCAAUAUCUCCAUGGCUUUUGUCAUGUAAACUGUUUGUUGAUUGCAGGCUUGCGAGAUAGUUUUUUCUUCUGUGCUGAAAAUCGGAGUGGUAGCGUGUAAUCCAGCAUGCUUGGUUCUCAGUUCUCGAUGAUCUGUGUGCAGGUUUGUUCUUGUUGGCUUUGACAGGAUAGCUGUUUUAGAGUGGAACUGUUGUGGUGGUCUGUUCAGACAACCAGCCGUGGUGCAUCAGACAGAUGUUGCAUGAGAACAUAGGAGAAUUGUGUUGGUUGCCAUGCUAGGAGCACAAAACAGGUCAGGAGUAGCUUCGACACUCAGUGGAGCAAAAGACAUGGUGCCUUGAAAAGGUUACAGAAAAAAAAAAAGACUUGUUAAGGAAAUGGCACUGUGCUAUACUUCUGUAUAUAACUGCAAUAUUGAUGUUGUUGAAGUGCAUAUUUUAUGACAAAGUGUACACAUGAAUGUUCUGUCAUAACAGCAGGGCAGUCACAGAUGUUUCUUUUUUUAUAUAUGCAUAUAAAUAUUUGCUGUAUGUCGGAAGAGCAAAAAGAAAAAAAAAACAUCUUUUUGUAUCUUGAAUAAGAUAUAUAUAUAUCUGUAUACAAACUAAUGUUCAUAAUGUACAUAGUACCGUUUGUGUAGUGUUUCACAAGACUGCGAAGAGUAAAAAAAAGUAAGAAAAAAUAAAGGUUGCUUGUAAAUUAUGUAAAAAGGAUAAAACAUAAAUUAUUCAUGGAUAACAUGGAACCCAACCAAACAUACAGGAAAGCCCAGUGGUACUUUGAGUAAAAUCCAGUCAGAGAACUGUGUACUUAUAAGCUGUACAUAACCAAGUUUACUCAAGCCAACGUCCUGCCUUGUACAUAUACUUUCAGAGAAUAUAUAUGCAGCUGCGUAGAGGAAUAUGGUUGGCACAGCAAUUCCGAUCUCCAGGAGUUAGGCCUGCUAAUAGAGUUGGCUAUGAUACCGAUGCAUGUCAAAUAUGCAAUUUUUCAGAGUUUUCAGUGCUCAAGAAAUUAAUAAGCUUUCCGAGUAGUAGUCCCAGUUUUCUUGGACUCCUAAUGAUUUAAAUUUUUGUCCUGUGCCUGUGUUCCUUCUCGAGAUGACAUUGUAACGAUAUAAAGGCCAUGGAACCAUUAGCACAGGGAGUGACAUGGCAACAAGGAUUGUAGUACCAUUUAAAUUAAUAUAUUUGCAACUUCAGCAGUCCACUCUUUAGAGCUUAGUGUUCUUUCUCCUUUAUUUUCACAAUGAAAAAUAAUAACGUGAUAAUUUGUGUCAGAAUUGCAACUACUGUACAUGGCUAUGCACCCGCCCUGGGAAUAAAUCAGCUCACUCCUCAGUUCAACUGGCAGAGUAUUUGAUGGCACAUACUAGAGUGUUUUAGUUCAGUGUUUUUUGGCUCAGUGUUAGCUCUGCUUGGCCUAUGCGUGUCAGCUGUGAAUAGUGGAUCACUCUGCCUGCAACUGAUACAGCUAGCCUGCAGAUUUUGUUUUGAUUGAGUAUUUAUCCAAAGUUUAUUGGCAAGCACGAUUAGCCCAACUGAAAUGACAAGAGGGCGAAGGUUGUCAUCAGUUUUACUAGAUCAUACGGUCAGACUACAGAUUCCACCUUUCACGAUUCCUUUCAGUUGCGUGCUGCAUCCGUUGAGCUAAUUCUGCUGCACAUACCGUCACGUAGCAGACAAUUUAAAGUGGCCAUUUGCAGCUUGGCUGCCAGGAUUGGUGGAGCGUACGACCAAUCACCAUUGCUUUCUGCAUGGCAUUGUGGACUAUUAAGUUUGCCUGGCUGGCACAGAAGGCAACGAAAGGAGUCACAUGCAAUGCAGCGAUUAAGUGACUGAUACAGUAAUCAAGAACUUUUUUUCUUUUCAUUUCACUGGCCUUCUGCUUUGCCAGCAUCCUCCCCUCUCUGAAACACUGGGAUUUAGCAGCCAGAAAAUGUACAUGGCUGAACACGUGGCAAAAAACGCAGCCAAAACACUCUAGUCAUGAUUCCUGUUGGGAACCGAUAGCUUCUGUGAAUUAGCAUCAAUAGCUAUGUGCCUGUUGCGCAAUUCUGGGUCGUAGACCUAGAGUUGGCAGGGGAUGUGAUGAUAUGAAGAACGAAAUCUUAAACAAAAAAUUACCAGAUUAACACUCCAUGCACAAUGAAACGCUCCCACUAUGUCGACAGGGGUGUUUUUUGAUCAGCAAGAUUCUCUUGCAGUGCUUGUAAAUUCUUUCUUAAGCAAUUUACCUAUUAGCAUUAUUAGAAAAGUGGCAAGCAGCAGCAAACUGUUGCAAGUAACCGUUGUAGAAUUUUUCCAUAUUAAACUAUGCGAAGAGAAUAAAAGAGAGAAAAAAGACAGAAGGCAAAAAAUGUGCACCCAUGAUCGUACCAUUGCAAUGUUAGCUCAAGGAAUGUUGGUGUAGGCAGCAAGCAUACUAUAACAGUUAAGGCUGUCAUCAGCAAUUUGGCAGUGAGCAAAGGAGAAAGCCUCGAAAGGUUUUGACUGGCACUUGGGUACAACACAAGACAUGUGCGACUGUAUUAGAUACAAACCCGAGCUCAAAGGAACAGAUAUGAAAGUCUCGAUGCAACGCCCAGGUUUGUAUUCUUUCAACGAGCCACAUUAUGUGGCCCUCUACCUACACGUUUUGGUUCAUAAAUUAAUGCUGGUGUUGUUUUGUUGCUAUUACCUACAAGUCUGUGUUGCGUGUGCUAAACUUGCCCACUUGCUUCAUCUUGCACUAUACUAAGAAACGGUGAGCGUGUAGUUGCAAUACCUUGUGUAGUACCGAGAUGUGUCCAAGUUACUGUGUGCACAACGUGUCAUUACAUACUCCUUGCAUGUCAUUGACCCCAUGCUAUGUGCAAGAAAAAAAAAAAAAAACUGUACAUACGACAAACAUUAUCACCUGUUUCUUCCAGUCUACUUGUUUUGACUGUAUUGUGAAAUGGAAACGUAUCUAUUUCAACCUAAAUUUUUUUUUCUCUCAAAGUUUAAAUAAAUGUCUUCUUAAGUAUACUGACAA
rnacentral:misc_RNA from 1 species